UGGCAAUGAGGAUAUACCGGGUUCCCUCUACUGAUAAUCAAUGAGGAAUAACCUUGGCACGGAAUCGAAUCACUAUCGCCACCACUGAGCCA
rnacentral:snoRNA from 1 species